AUUUCUAAUCAGACUGCAAAAUAUCACAGUGGAAACACUUUAUUUUCCUUGUGAUGUUAUAUGAAUGAUGAAAGAUCUUUUUCUUGCAUUUUUCAUGUUAUUCAAUUUGGACAUCGUUAUAACUCAAUGCACAGGACCUUUCAAAUGCUGUGCUGGCCAGAAGUGGAAUGAAACUAAUGGAUCUUGUGUCAAUUGUGGUGUUGGCUAUAUGUGGUAGGACUAGUACUUGUCCAUACCCAUACUACGGAAUAAAUUGCCAGCAGAAAUGUCAAUGCAGACAAAAUGAGUUUUCCUUUGAUUCUGGGCGUGGAGAGCAGACAGUACUACUGG